AUGCGGCGGGCUCGGGCCGCGGCGCUGGCGGCGCUGGUUGUGGUGCUGAUCGUGGCUGCGGUCAGAGCCCAGGUACAGCAGGAGCCAUUCCUGGAGACCACCGAGGGCACCGGUAUCAACAUCACCUGCUCACAUCCCAAAAUCCAACCCACUGACUGGAUCCAGUGGUACCGCCAGCUCCCUGGCCAAGGACCUGAACUCCUCGCACUCACUCUGAAAGAGACCAAAGAGCUGCCGGACGGUGCAGGACAGCUGUUGGUGUCGGCAGAUCGGCGUUCGAGCUGGCUGUGGCUCGCUGAGCCCCGGCGCGGGGACGCGGCCGUGUAUUACUGCGCGCUGGGGGCCACGGCAGAGCUGCCCAUUGCAGCUGCGGAGCUGAGGACUCCACUGCGAGCUGAGCAGGAACUGCCCCUUCCCAUCACUGAUGCCCCAGGGGCACGGAAUGCUCACAAUGCCAAUGGCUGA